AAAAAAAAAAAAAAAAGAAAUAUAGGGAUCCCAAAAGGUAAAAUUCUGUGAGAGUAUAUUGAAACAAAUAUUUUUGUACUAUAUCUAAAUUGAAGUGAACUCUUUUUUCUUGAACAUUUGAAUGAGGACAAUUGCACCACUAUACAAAGCUCUAAUUCUUUUUUCUAUUACCUUUCUGUCAUUUAUUCUGUUGUUAACUCUUUAUACCUGCUUGUAAAUUCUGUGCUAAUUGUAUUUCAUAAUAUUGCAAUAAGUAAAACAUAAGAUCAUGGCUUUAUUGGUAUUUUGUUACUUGUAAUUUUUCUUGAUAUAGACAUCUUUUGCCUAAGGCUUAUUUUGUUGUUGUAUAGACAUCUUUUGCCAAUGGUUUGGAUUUCAAUUUCUUUUUUCAAUUAAAGAUCCAAUUUCUGUUUCAGAUCUUUUGAGGUGUUGUGUUUGGUUGCAUAUCUUUGUCUUGAUCCGGCCCUAGAAUGAUGCCACAUUCCAGCAUCUGUGCUGUUAAAUUGCUAUGCUAAUAUAUAGGGAACUUCUUCGUCUUCUCUUUUUUCUCCCCCUCUCCUCUCUCUCCAACAUCUAAAGAAUGAUCUCACGUACACUGACAAGUUCUGAUGCGUGUACCCAAAACAAGUGCUAGGGCAUGCAUCUUAUCCAAUCAGGAGCGCGAAGUAGUUUGUGGCAUGUCAGUGAUGUCACAACAUAUACAAGGUUAAUUUUUUAGCCGUCUAAACUCUAAAGCAAUUUGAGUAUAAUACUUUGCAUGCCUAGAGGGCCACUGGAGAUUAAGGGUGAUGAGGUUUUGGUUUUGGGUAAGGCUGUGCACAGAGACAGGGAAGGGCCCAAAUGAUGCUGUAUGAGGAAAUUACUAGAUUACUUACAGUUAAAUGAUAUCUCUAUGUACUGCAAAUUGGCAAAAUAUGGGAUUGAUGCGGCAACUAUAAGUUGGAAAGAAUCAAAUGAUGUUCUGAUGACUUCAUUUUACUUCUUUUGAAGAAGGGAAUGGGGGCAAUGAUUGGACUAUCCAACUCCACAAUGAUGCUUCUGAGUAUCAAUUUAAAAGCAUGCCAUUAGUGAUGUAUUUUUAACGGUCUGUCUGCCUUAAAAAUAAGCUACGAUUUGAUUGUUUGCUAUGUUCCCUGCAAACCACUAGUGGACUGGAUUGUUGGAACUUGGACUAUCUUCAAAGUGGCAAGGUAGCAGCUGUAAUGUUUUAGUUGUUAUCUUUCUUUGUGACUUAGAGAAGUCAGCUACUUUGAUUCUUUAUGUUUUAACUUCGACUUCCCUAAUCCCAUUUUUCUAUUCUUGCCUAUUCCUCUUUCAACAAUUUAUCACUUGGUUUAUUAGCAGCAAAAUUCAUACUCACAUGUUUAACUUUGUUGCUGUGAAGGUUGUUAUGGAUACUUCACCUUGUGUAUACCAGUGGCCCAUUGGUCAUAUUAUUGUAUUGAUGAGCGUUUCUAUUGAUAACAGAUUGCUCGUAUGCUUACUGUUAA
rnacentral:misc_RNA from 1 species